UACGGAGGGUGCAAGCGUUGCUCGGAAUUAUUGGGCGUAAAGGGCAGGUAGGUGGUCUCAUUUGUCUGGGGUGAAAUCCUUGGGCUUAACCCAAGAAGUGCCCCAGAAACGGUGAGACUCGAGUACUGGAGAGGGUCGUGGAAUUCCCGGUGUAGCGGUGAAAUGCGUAGAGAUCGGGAGGAACACCAGAGGCGAAGGCGGCGACCUGGACAGUGACUGACACUCAACUGCGAAAGCGUGGGGAGCAAACAGG
rnacentral:rRNA from 1 species